UACGUAGGGGGCUAGCGUUGUCCGGAAUCAUUGGGCGUAAAGCGCGCGUAGGCGGCCCGGUAAGUCCGCUGUGAAAGUCAAAGGCUCAACCUUUGAAUGUCAGCGGAUACUGCCGGGCUAGAGUCCGGAAGAGGCGAGUGGAAUUCCUGGUGUAGCGGUGGAAUGCGCAGAUAUCAGGAGGAACACCAACGGCGAAGGCAGCUCGCUGGGACGGUACUGACGCUGAGGCGCGAAAGCGUGGGGAGCAAACGGG
rnacentral:rRNA from 1 species